rnacentral:rRNA from 1 species
GCACGCAGGCGGUUUGUUAAGUCAGAUGUGAAAUCCCCGGGGCUCAACCUGGGAACUGCAUUUGAAACUGGCAAGCUAGAGUCUCGUAGAGGGGGGUUGGAAUUCCAGGUGUAGCGGUGAAAUGCGUAGAGAUCUGGAGGAAUACCGGUGGCGAAGGCGGCCCCCUGGACGAAGACUGACGCUCAGGGUGCGAAAGCGUGGGGAGCAAACAGGAUUAGUUACCCUGGUAGUCCACGCUGUAAACGAUGUCGAUUUGGAGGUUGUGCCCUUGAGGCGUGGCUUCCGGAGCUAACGCGUUAAAUCGACCGCCUGGGGAGUACGGCCGCAAGGUUAAAACUCAAAUGAAUUGACGGGGGCCCGCACAAGCGGUGGAGCAUGUGGUUUAAUUCGAUGCAACGCGAAGAACCUUACCUACUCUUGACAUCCAGAGAACUUUCCAGAGAUGGAUUGGUGCCUUCGGGAACUCUGAGACAGGUGCUGCAUGGCUGUCGUCAGCUCGUGUUGUGAAAUGUUGGGUUAAGUCCCGCAACGAGCGCAACCCUUAUCCUUUGUUGCCAGCGGUUCGGCCGGGAACUCAAAGGAGACUGCCAGUGAUAAACUGGAGGAAGGUGGGGAUGACGUCAAGUCAUCAUGGCCCUUACGAGUAGGGCUACACACGUGCUACAAUGGCGUAUACAAAGAGAAGCGACCUCGCGAGAGC